AAGAUUUUAAGUUAAUAAAACUAUAAUCUUUCAAAGAUUAAUAUAAAUCAUUGAUUUAAAUCUUG
rnacentral:tRNA from 2 species